GACACCAUGCAAGAUUUGGGAUUCAUUGCACACGGUAUACUAGUCGGUCAGACCCUGACACCCUGACAAUGGGUCACAGCCACAAAUCUGCAAAGAAUGACUAGAUUAUGGUAAAUAUUGCAGACAAUGUGACACACCAGACAAGUCCUGAUACCCCUGACAAGCCUAACAAGUCCUGACACUCCCUGACAAGCCUAACAAGUCCUGACACCCCUGACAAGUCCUGACAUCCCUGACAAGUCCUGACACCCCUGACAAGUCCUGACACCCCUGACAAGCCCUGACACCCCUGACAAGCCCAACAAGUCCUGACAAGCCUAACAAGUCCUGACACCCCUGAC
rnacentral:lncRNA from 1 species